rnacentral:rRNA from 1 species
GAUGAACGCUGGCGGCGUGCCUAAUACAUGCAAGUCGAGCGAACAGACGAGGAGCUUGCUCCUCUGACGUUAGCGGCGGACGGGUGAGUAACACGUGGAAACCUACCUAUAAGACUGGGAUAACUUCGGGAAACCGGAGCUAAUACCGGAUAAUAUUUUGAACCGCAUGGUUUAAUAGUGAAAGACGGUUUUGCUGUCACUUAUUGAUGGAUCCGCGCCGCAUUAGCUAGUUGGUAAGGUGACGGCUUACCAAGGCAACGAUGCGUAGCCGACCUGAGAGGGUGAUCGGCCACACUGGAACUGAGACACGGUCCAGACUCCUACGGGAGGCAGCAGUAGGGAAUCUUCCGCAAUGGGCGAAAGCCUGACGGAGCAACGCCGCGUGAGUGAUGAAGGUCUUCGGAUCGUAAAACUCUGUUAUUAGGGAAGAACAAAUGUGUAAGUAACUAUGCACGUCUUGACGGUACCUAAUCAGAAAGCCACGGCUAACUACGUG